rnacentral:rRNA from 1 species
UACAUGCUAGUCGAGGGGCAGCAUGGUGUAGCAAUACACUGAUGGCGACCGGCAAACGGGUGCGGAACACGUACACAACCUUCCUUCGAGCGGGGAAUAGCCCGGGGAAACCCGGAUUAAUACCCCAUAGUAUAUUGGAGUGGCAUCACUUUGAUAUUAAAGAUUUAUCACUUGAAGAUGGGUGUGCGGCUGAUUAGGUAGUUGGCGGGGUAACGGCCCACCAAGCCUACGAUCAGUAACUGGUGUGAGAGCACGACCAGUCACACGGGCACUGAGACACGGGCCCGACUCCUACGGGAGGCAGCAGUAAGGAAUAUUGGUCAAUGGACGAAAGUCUGAACCAGCCAUGCCGCGUGGAGGAUGAAGGUCCUCUGGAUUGUAAACUUCUUUUAUAUGGGACGAAAAAAGGCUUUUCUAAGUCGUCUGACGGUACCAUAUGAAUAAGCACCGGCUAACUCCGUGCCAGCAGCCGCGGUAAUACGGAGGGUGCAAGCGUUAUCCGGAUUCACUGGGUUUAAAGGGUGCGUAGGUGGGUUGGUAAGUCAGUGGUGAAAUCCCCGAGCUUAACUUGGGAACUGCCAUUGAUACUAUCAGUCUUGAAUACCGUGGAGGUUAGCGGAAUAUGUCAUGUAGCGGUGAAAUGCUUAGAUAUGACAUAGAACACCAAUUGCGAAGGCAGCUGGCUACACGAAUAUUGACACUGAGGCACGAAAGCGUGGGGAUCAAACAGGAUUAGAUACCCUGGUAGUCCACGCCCUAAACUAUGGAUACUCGACAUCAGCGAUACACUGUUGGUUGUCUGAGCGAAAGCAUUAAGUAUCCCACCUGGGAAGUACGAUCGCAAGAUUGAAACUCAAAGGAAUUGGCGGGGGUCCGCACAAGCGGGGAAGCAUGUGGUUUAAUUCGAUGAUACGCGAGGAACCUUACC